AAGUCUUCGGUUAGAGCCCACCGCUCAACGGUGGAACAGCCGGAGAAACUAGCAGGAUUGAGGUUGGGAGAGGUAAGCGGAAUUGCCGGUGUAGUAGUAAAAUGCGUUAAUAUCGGCAAGAACACCAAAGGCGAAGGCAGCUUACUGGAACACACCUGACACUGAGGUACGAAAGCGUGGGUAGCAAACAGGAUUAGAUACCCUGGUAGUCCACGCCGUAAACGAUGUCAACUAGCCGUUGGGCCUAUAUACAGGUUUAGUGGCGCAGCUAACGCAUUAAGUUGACCGCCUGGGGAGUACGGCCGCAAGGUUAAAACUCAAAUGAAUUGACGGGGGCCCGCACAAGCGGUGGAGCAUGUGGUUUAAUUCGAUGCAACGCGAAGAACCUUACCUACCCUUGACAUCCUAAGAACCCUGCGGAGACGCGGGGGUGCCUUCGGGAACUUAGAGACAGGUGCUGCAUGGCUGUCGUCAGCUCGUGUCGUGAGAUGUUGGGUUAAGUCCCGUAACGAGCGCAACCCUUAUCCUUAGUUGCCAGCGGGUCAAGCCGGGAACUCUAGGGAGACUGCCGAUGAUAAAUCGGAGGAAGGUGGGGACGACGUCAAGUCAUCAUGGCCCUUAUGGGUAGGGCUACACACGUGCUACAAUGGCCGGUACAGAGGGCAGCAAACUCGCGAGAGCCAGCAAAUCCCAGAAAGCCGGUCCUAGUCCGGAUUGGAGUCUGCAACUCGAC
rnacentral:rRNA from 1 species